GACGAACGCUGGCGGCGUGCCUAAUACAUGCAAGUUGAGCGCUGAAGGUUGGUACUUGUACCGACUGGAUGAGCAGCGAACGGGUGAGUAACGCGUGGGGAAUCUGCCUUUGAGCGGGGGACAACAUUUGGAAACGAAUGCUAAUACCGCAUAAAAACUUUAAACACAAGUUUUAAGUUUGAAAGAUGCAAUUGCAUCACUCAAAGAUGAUCCCGCGUUGUAUUAGCUAGUUGGUGAGGUAAAGGCUCACCAAGGCGAUGAUACAUAGCCGACCUGAGAGGGUGAUCAGCCACACUGGGACUGAGACACGGCCCAAACGCCUACGGGAGGCAGCAGUAGGGAAUCGUCGGCAAUGGGCGAAAGUCUGACCGAGCAACGCCGCGUGAGUGAAGAAGGUUGUCGGAUCGUAAAACUCUGUUGGUAGAGAAGAACGUUGGUGAGAGUGGAAAGCUCAUCAAGUGACGGUAACUACCCAGAAAGGGACGGCUAACUACGUG
rnacentral:rRNA from 1 species